AACAUGUUCAGAAGUUAAAAUUAUUUGAGCAACAACUAAAAUAACAAACGUAUACCAGAGUCGAAGGCAAUAUCACGUAGUGUCCGGCAGAAUGUUAUUGUUUGAGAUAAUCGUCGCCAAGUGUCUCCUGGGAGAGAGACUUGCAUCUGUCUAGCGCAAGCAAAUAUUAUAAUAUCGGUGCAAGUUACGGGCUGAACACUUGUUAAAUUUAUUAAGAAGACGUGGAGGUAGUCCACUAAGACGAGAGAGCGCGCAUCAAGAGUUUCGUCACGACAGACGCCCGGGAGAGAUAGUUUAAUUGGCAGAGCACCUUGAGCGCGAUGCAUCGCCUCUACGUGUUCAAACUUGGCUGCGUCGCAAAUUCGGUAAGGCUGUCGACGGUGGCACCAAAAAUCGCGAAGCCAGUGCACGGCGUCGAGUCCCGCGCAGUGGGGCUCCUCGGGCGCGUCGCUGUAAGCGAACAUAUGUAAAGAACAUUAG